rnacentral:rRNA from 1 species
AACCUGGUUGAUCCUGCCAGUAGUUAUAUGCUUGUCUCAAAGGUUAAGCCAUGCAUGUCUCAGUAUGAGUGCUUUUACAGCGAAACUGCGAAUGGCUCAUUAAAUCAGUUACGGUUUAUUUGAUGACUUGUGACACGGAUAACUGGGGAAAUUCUUCAGCCAAUACGUGCUUCUAAGCCGACUUUGUGGAAGGUGAGUAUUUGCUCGAUUCUGAACCAACCCAGAUCUUCUGGGCUUUAAGUUGAGCGGAGAGUAAAUCUGUCCAAUCGCAUUGCACCGCGAUGCGAUGCAUCAUUCAAGUUUCUGACCUAUCUGCUUCCGAUUGUAGGGUAUUGGCGUACCAUGGCGAUGACGGGUAACAG